rnacentral:tRNA from 1 species
CAUGGAGUGGCUCAGCGGCAGAGCGCCCGGCUGCGGACCGGGAAGGCGCGGGUUCGAGUCCCGCCUCCAUGU